rnacentral:rRNA from 1 species
UACGAAGGGUGCAAGCGUUACUCGGAAUUACUGGGCGUAAAGCGUGCGUAGGUGGUUUGUUAAGUCUGAUGUGAAAGCCCUGGGCUCAACCUGGGAAUUGCAUUGGAUACUGGCAGGCUAGAGUGCGGUAGAGGAUGGCGGAAUUCCCGGUGUAGCAGUGGAAUGCGUAGAGAUCGGGAGGAACAUCUGUGGCGAAGGCGGCCAUCUGGACCAGCACUGACACUGAGGCACGAAAGCGUGGGGAGCAAACAGG